rnacentral:rRNA from 1 species
GAUGAACGCUGGCGGCGUGCUUAAUACAUGCAAGUCGAGCGAAGCGCUUUAACGGAAUUCUCCGGAAGGAAGGUAAAGUGACUGAGCGGCGGACGGGUGAGUAACGCGUGGGUAACCUGCCUUAUACAGGGGGAUAACAGUUAGAAAUGACUGCUAAUACCGCAUAAGCGCACAGGACCGCAUGGUCUGGUGUGAAAAACUCCGGUGGUAUGAGAUGGACCCGCGUCUGAUUAGCUAGUUGGUGAGGUAACGGCCCACCAAGGCGACGAUCAGUAGCCGACCUGAGAGGGUGAUCGGCCACAUUGGGACUGAGACACGGCCCAA